UAUUGCACAAUGGGGGAAACCCUGAUGCAGCGACGCCGCGUGAGUGAAGAAGUAUUUCGGAUCGUAAAACCCUGUUGUUAGAGAAGAAAGUGCGUGAGAGUAACUGUUCACGUUUCGACGGUAUCUAACCAGAAAGCCACGGCUAACUACGUGCCAGCAGCCGCGGUAAUACGUAGGUGGCAAGCGUUAUCCGGAUUUAUUGGGCGUAAAGAGAACGCAGGCGGUCUUUUAAGUCUGAUGUGAAAGCCUUCGGCUUAACCGGAGUAGUGCAUUGGAAACUGGGAGACUUGAGUGCAGAAGAGGAGAGUGGAACUCCAUGUGUAGCGGUGAAAUGCGUAGAUAUAUGGAAGAACACCAGUGGCGAAAGCGGCUCUCUGGUCUGUAACUGACGCUGAGGUUCGAAAGCGUGGGUAGCAAACAGG
rnacentral:rRNA from 1 species